rnacentral:lncRNA from 1 species
ACCAUUAACUGCUUCCUAGAGAGAUCAUCUCCAGCAAAGAACAAUCUCAUAUGAUUCCCAUGAUUAGAAUAACACUCAUCAGAAUUGGGUAGUGGACUGACACAUUCCCACAAACCUUAAAUUCAGUUUUACAUGAGCAAAGCCACUUUCAGAAAUAUCUGUUUCUAGAUCAGGUCAUUCAUUAAAAGCACUUUCUCUUUCUAGUUCACCGAAUAUUUGAUCAAUUAUCUUUUUAUGAUCACUGGCUAUCUGGCCCAUAAAAAAGAUUAUUAUGUGAACAUAUGUUAAAGUUCUUUGAGGAAAAAACAAAAAACAAAAAAACUUUUUUUUCCCUCCUCAGUGAUGCAGCAAGUGUAAAAUUUUGGAAAGAUAUAGUGCAUAUCAUACCAUGAAUGUUUUCCUUGAUUCUGCUCUACAAUUGAGCCUCUCUUAAAUAUCAGCAGUCCUAAAAGCUAAAAAACCUAAGACUGGCAUUACAACUUUUAAAUUCAUAGCAGGUCAUCAACUGAUUUUUUUUUUCCCCUCUCUUUCUCAUUAUUUUUUUCAGUUCUCUGUCUGGAAAUAUGGAAACCAGCAUAAUAUUUUGUGGCUAUUCAAAGAAAAUUAUGGACUGAGGCUUACUAGGAACUAUUUUAUCAUACUUCAGACACCUCACUCCUAACUAGAAACAUGUGGAUGCAGAUUCCUGGAACAAUAUCUCAAAGUAAGACAUGGAAGAGGAUUUCUCUGGUACAAGAUUUUUGGUGAGAGCUCUGAAUUACACAGGAUCUAGUACAAAGUGGCAUUUUCCCAGUUUCUUCAGUGCUGUUGUCUGCUGAUAUUCACUUCAUGCAACCACAGUAUCAGUCCUCCAGUUUCUGCUAAAGGGGUUACACGUGGCUUAGCCAAGGCAAGGAGCAGAACUGGUAAGAAAUGCAAGAAUGCGGAAGUGUAUGAAAUUCACUCUUUGAAUUAACAAGACUGAAGGAAGAGAUGGACAGAUUUUGGCAAGUCCAUACAUGCAAUGCUUCAGCCACCACUGCAAAACAAAGACUCCUGUGGCUGGCAUUGUACAAGUGGGAAACUGCACAGUACAGAACUUCUCCAGAGCAGCUCAAGACUUGCUGUACUGCCACUGACAGCCUAAAUACCAAUUGCUAUUUGCUUUGAUCUACAGAUACUGAGGCCUUUUUUGUUUUCCUGUGGGAUAAGAUACCAAUGAAGAAUGUGGUUUUGGGCUCAUAGUUUCCUAAGUAGCUUCUUCACUGCUAUGGUUUAGAAUAGAUUUUCUGUGUCAAGGCAAUUGUAUCCUCUUUUUUGAGGUUUGUUUGGGUUGAGGUUCUAAAAUGUGUGGCUCACCUGAUUUUUUUUUCCCCGUCUCCUGAAUAAAAGUAGAGUGAUGCUCCUCUGUGGUCCUCA